rnacentral:rRNA from 1 species
CAGUAGCCGCGGUAAAACGUAGGGUGCAAGCGUUAAUCGGAAUUACUGGGCGUAAAGCGUGCGCAGGCGGUUAUAUAAGACAGAUGUGAAAUCCCCGGGCUCAACCUGGGAACUGCAUUUGUGACUGUAUAGCUAGAGUACGGCAGAGGGGGAUGGAAUUCCGCGUGUAGCAGUGAAAUGCGUAGAUAUGCGGAGGAACACCGAUGGCGAAGGCAAUCCCCUGGGCCUGUACUGACGCUCAUGCACGAAAGCGUGGGGAGCAAACAGGAUUAGAUACCCGGGUAGUCCCUGUCUCUUAUAC